UUAUGGUCGAAGCAUUUGCUUCAAAACUUGAAGCUUUGUAAGAUAUACCCAAUGGCCCUUGUUAUAUAACCAAUCAACUAAUAGAAGACUAAACAUAUAGAAGUUUCGUGGGGCUCUAAGGAACAACCUAUUAGUUCUUACUAUCCUAGAAUAGUUUCUGUAUGUAACAAGUUGGAUGCAGAAUACUUGUAUGCCCCAAGUCGCUUUAAUUACAGUCACUAGCCUGCCCCAGUUUGUGACUUCUUUGGAUGUUGCUUAAAAUUGCAAUCUCAAGAGUUGGUUUAGUCUCACAUUUACUAGUAAUAUUGUCAAAUUAAAAUAUAUAAGUAGAAAACAGUCCCCGCUUUAAAAGAUAGCUGUGUAUUUGACUUAGACUUAAACUCAAAUAUUAAGAUAACAUCAGAUACUAUGUUGGGUCACUUGUAUAUCUACCAUGUUCUAGGUUGGAAGUCCUAGGCAUAAAGGACUGUGUUAGAAAAUCAUCUUAGUUGUGAUCACCCCUAGCCCACUCAAGUUCCGGUCUCUUUGGGGUUGCCUUGCAAUCUUAAGGGUGGUGGUUUAGUCUACACAAUAAUUUUUUAGAUUAAUGUCUCUCAACACAAUUUUCAAAGAUAUAAUUCAACUUUACCAUCAUUCUUUAGUUCUGCUAAUGUCAAUUGAGAUCCUAAAAUGCAAACUGUAACAAGAUAAUAGCCAUCCUGAUUCCACUGUUUGUUUAUUUAAUUAAUUUUUAAAGUUGACAUGUUCCAUAUAUUUAAGAAAUAAAUCAAGCCAACAAUUAGACAAGGUGAGGAUAAAUAUAUCUUAGGGUUGUACCUUCAAGUCUGGUAAUUCAAUCAGACAAGCACACUCCACAACAUCAACCCCAACACGUUCUGCAAUAAAGGGAGUAACAAACAGAACAACUAAGAAUGUAUUGAAAUGCUUAUGUUAAGCAUUAAACAGUAUAAAAUACACUUCCAAGUUAAACAGUCACUUCACUUGAAAACACCAUCUUUAAAAGGAUGGUAUUAGGUUCAUUACCCAGAAACAAGCUUUUCUCUUCUCAUUAAAAGCACAUCAUACAUGCAUUAUUUGUCUGAAUGUAUAAAUAAACAGAAAGAAGAAAACCAUGAAUGCUGAAACACUGAUAGGAUGAUCUCUUCUGUGGUUCAAUGGGUCCGAAGAAAGGAAAGUUAAAUGCACAAAAAGGAAGUACUUAAAUUCCACAACAAAUUUUACAUAGAAAUGCCCCUUAGAUUGAGAUGCCUAUAAGAACAUAAAAUGUGUAUGGGUGUAAUGCAGACAAAAUUAAAAUGUUGGAUUAAUAUCCUUCUAUAUUUUUCUUAACAAAUUAUGUAAUAGGACCCUUCCAGAGAGGGUAUAACUCAAGUAAACCAAAAAACUCAGAAAGACAAAGUGUAAAAUAAAACAAAGAGCAACAGAAUAAAGCAUACUGGUUUACUUCAGGAGAGAGGAAGAGAGAACACCAAAUACUGUCAUGCAUUCUAUUUCACAAGCAAUAAGGGAAAACAUCUUAAUGAACUUCAUCUAUUAUUUUGUGCAAAUAAACCAAAAAAGAAGUAUCAAAGAUAUAAUCAUGUAUCCCAGUGCCUAAGGCUCCUCACUUUACGAAGGAAUAAUUAUACACAGCCUUUCCGUUGCAUAUUCAAAGAAGCUAUUUCCUUAUUCGAGCCCAUGAUGAACUGGUCACCAAGGCAUAACUUCACCGUUAUGCCAAAGCUCAUCCUUGUACCAGGUAAUAUACUAUUAAACAGAAAUUCUUACCAGUGAUCUUGUCAGUUCUUCAUUUUCAUGAUAGUAUAUGGCACAUAUAUCCAAUAACUUUGGCAAUUCAAGCAACUUUUUCUCCUGCAAAAGAACUACAGGCAAAAUUAGUGAACAACGGUGAAUCACAACAAAAAAAGACAAAAUAUGAGGUAAUAUUACUCGACAAGAAUCCACAAUGGAAAUAAUUUUCCAAACACUUCCUAUUUCUUGUAUACAAAUAACAUUUCUAAAACAGCACAAAAUCAUUGUUCCAAUGCGAGUUCAAUCUCUGCCUGGGCCAAGACUUACAAAUGCACACAGUAUGUAUGUGCGCUGUCUUAACAAAGGAAUUAGUAAUAAAAAACAUGUAGUGGUCACUCAAACAAAAACGUCUAUAUUGUCCACAACCUAAAAAAAGUCAAAUGAUUUUCGCUAGGAUGCAAAUACAGGUAACUUCCGGCUGAUGAUGUCGACUGUUACGUUUGAGUGGAGGAGGAAGGGGUUUUAUUUUGUUCUUCAGCCAUAUCUGUAAGGAAAAACAAUAAGGAAAAAGAAAAUUCAGAAAAGCGAGAAUCGGAAACUGAUUGAGAAAGAAAAUGAAAAAGAACAAGAGAUUGAAACAAGAAAAUCAGAGUUACGCAACAGAGCUCUUCAAUUGAAGAGCUAUGAUACCAUAACACGAUUAGUGCAAAUCUGAGAUGAAGAUGCGCCUUGCGGGAGAUGGUUGAAGGAGUUCCAAUCUGUGAAAAAGAGCCCCUGCGUAGAAGACAAAAGCGCUUGUGCUUUGGAUCAAAAAGGGGGCUGCAACAUCAACGCUGUAAACAAACCAGUAUGAACACGAAAGGGUCUUUAUUCGAAGAACUGCAAUGCACACACAUUACAAAAAAUCACAGAUAAAAAAAACAGAGUCCAAAACAGAGCAUCACUCCAACUCAUGAGAAACUUACAUGCGAUACAAUACCAUGAAAAACGCGGCGACACAAAUCGCGCUCCCCAACAAUAACACCUGCAACAAUCCCUUUCACCCCGCGAUGAGGGAAAUCAUACCACAAGUCUAAUCUAAAAUGGGAAUUAGUUGAAAAGAACAGGUUAAUUAUGAGAAAAAUCUUAAAAAAAAUAAGAAAGAAACAAGAAGAAACUUGUUUAAAAGAUCGGAUCUUCUUUCAUCUAUU
rnacentral:lncRNA from 1 species